GGCGGACGGGUGAGUAACGCGUAAGGAACUUGCCUCUUGGACUGGGACAACUGUUGGAAACGACAGCUAAUACCGGAUAUUAUGAGAUUCUCGCAUGAGAAACUUAUGAAAGCUAUAUGCGCCAAGAGAGAGCCUUGCGUUCCAUUAGCUAGUUGGUGGGGUAACGGCCCACCAAGGCGACGAUGGAUAGCCGGCCUGAGAGGGUGAACGGCCACAAGGGGACUGAGACACGGCCCUUACUCCUACGGGAGGCAGCAGUGGGGAAUAUUGGACAAUGGGCCACAAGCCUGAUCCAGCAAUUCUGUGUGCACGAUGAAGGUCUUCGGAUUGUAAAGUGCUUUCAGUUGGGAAGAAGAAAGUGACGGUACCAACAGAAGAAGCGACGGCUAAAUACGUGCCAGCAGCCGCGGUAAUACGUAUGUCGCAAGCGUUAUCCGGAUUUAUUGGGCGUAAAGCGCGUCUAGGCGGAAAAAUAAGUCUGAUGUUAAAAUGCGGGGCUCAACUCCGUAUUGCGUUGGAAACUGUUUUUCUAGAGUACUGGAGAGGUGGGCGGAACUACAAGUGUAGAGGUGAAAUUCGUAGAUAUUUGUAGGAAUGCCGAUGGAGAAGUCAGCUCACUGGACAGAUACUGACGCUGAAGCGCGAAAGCGUGGGGAGCAAACAGGAUUAGAUACCCUGGUAGUCCACGCCGUAAACGAUGAUCACUAGGUGUUGGGG
rnacentral:rRNA from 1 species